GCCACUCUGGGGGAUUUCUGCUAAAACAUCUCUCUUCAUAAAUCCAGAAGCAUGGUCAGCUCAACAGGGAGAAGAAGGAGUUUCAGAAGGAAAAGAGUUGGGCUUAGUAAUAAACGAACACACAAAGGAACCACUUACCUUCCGAGGGGGCUCGGGCCACCGGGGCAAGGAAACGCCAAGCCCCCCGUGGAAAUACACUCCUGCCUCUCGUGGAGAAGUGUUUUCCUCCAGAAUCCAGCGUCAGUUUGCUUCCUUGUCCCACCUGAUAUUUUCCUACUCUUGUGUCUCUCUUCACCAGAAAUCUUUUCUUCACCUCCUCAGAGCCAGGAGUGGUGGGUGUGUGGGUGUGUGUGUGUGUGUGUGGGUGUGUGUGUGUGUGUGUGUGUGUGUGUGGGUGUGUGUGUGAGAGGCCUGGGAAGGGGGUGGAGAGCUAUUAAUUUGCAAAUCAUCUGAUCUGUGACAGGAUCAAGAUGCCUGUUUUUCACCAGUAAAUCCAGUGUCUUGAGUGGACACACGUGUGCACACGUGAGCCCCUCGUGCCACGAAUCCUGGGAGCGGAGGUGCCAGAUUUAAAUCCGAGAAAAGCACCCCCUGCUCCCACACCCUCCCCAGGGACCUGUGGCCGAAUUAAGCCUUAGAUCCCAAACUGCAUAAUGUUCAUAUUUUGAAGCCUAGACAGAAGGGGGAGGCAAGGGGACAGAGACAGUGGGGAAGUAUGUUCACUAGUCUCCUCCGCUCCCAGUCCCCCCAAACCAUUUCUUGUGAGAUCAGCUUUUACUGGUGCCCAUGCCCUACUCUCGUAAUUUUUUGCUUUUCUGGUUUACAUCUACAGUGGACCCAAAAGGUGAUCACGUCCUUUCCCUCUUUUCAGAGGAUGGGAGAUGGCCCAGGGUCUCUAGGCAGUGAACACAAGGACCUGGCCACGCUGUCCUUAGCUGUGGCCUUUGGGGAAGACGUUCAACCUCUUGGGGCCUCAGUUUCCCCAUCGGUAACCCGCAGGAAUUGGGCUACGUGAUUGCUCAGAUUCCCUGCAGCUCCGGCCUCCUCUGACCGAAUGAGAUAAUGUGUGGAAACACUUUGUAAACGCUAAAGCCGGACGAAUGCCAGGGAUUAUUAUUACGAUUCUAAUCAAUCCUCUUUCCUCCACAUGGAUCUUGGCUGUUUAGCGCCGGCGAGCAGGCUAAAGAGGGCCGAAACCAAGAAAGCUUAGCGGAGAUGGAAAAGCUCUGUGCCGUGGACAGGAAAAAAAGCUCUGCCCCUCCAGAAACAUUCUGUCUCUGUGUCCCCCUCCCCCAGGCCCCCUUCACGCCUGGUGGGAAGGGUUGGGGGGUGGAGGAGAAGGGGGAAGAGGCCUCACUUGGUAGGACCCGGUUCAGUUUACACGCAGGCAAGAGAGUAUUUCUUCCAGAGCAUCAUUUGUCUCCAAGUGACUGACAUAGGAACCUGAUGUGAAGGCGAUUUGCAAUUGUUAUUUUUCCAGGAAGAAAGGAAAGAGCAAGGUGUAGCUGAUUAGCAAGUUAAUUAUUUCAGUACCCCAAGGGUUCCAGCGUGGUGGUAAGUUGUCCAGGCCUGGUGUAAUUUCACAGUCCGUGUGUUUCCUGGGGAGCACCUGGGGGUGCCCAGGUCUGUCUUUCUGUCUCCAUCCACCUGCCUUAUGUCUUUCUGACACACCUGGGGAGCUGAAGAGGGGUUGGGGUGGUAAUCGGUGUGGCGUAUAUCUUUGGCCUAGGCUGCAGGUAGGGAGCCAGAGAGAACGAGGGGGAGGAAGCCUUGACCUCUGCUGACUGUUUAAUUAUCUGGCCCUUCCUUCUUCUUAAAAACACUCUUGUUGAAUAAAUAUUAAUGAGGCAGAUUAUCAAGAAGUGGAGUUGCUUUGAGGCUAUUUCCCCAGACUUAACACAGGAAGAACCUGGCCUGGAGGGGGCCCUUUGGCCUCUUACCUCCUCCAGCCCUGGCCUGCUCUCCGAUGCUCAUCUUCGCCUACCCAACUCUGGCCACCACUUGCUUUGCAGGGGUUUCCGCCAGUCCCCUUCGGGAUCUGCCUUCCCCUUGAGGGAGCAGAGGGAGGACUGUGUGGAGAGGAGCCAGCUCACAGCACCAGGCUCUGGAGGCUUCAGCAUAUGAAGACGAUACAGUCCUUUUUGGUGCUGGCGUUCAAGCAGGUUGGCUGGUAUCGCUGCUGCUGGAGAGGGGCCGGGGGACUGUCUGGAAAGAUAGUUCUGAUGACCGCUUUGCUGUAGCCCUAGAGCUCUGAGUCACGUUCCCCGGGCUACACAGCAGCUUCUCCUCAGUCAUCUGUCUUAUGCAUGGGCGUGCAUCCGCGGGGAGCCUUGACCGCUCUUCACUGCCCAGUGGCUGGCUGGUCAAGGAGCAUUUUCAGCUUGGAGGCCCCUCGUUGGUGGUUCCACCAUUUUCUUGCUCACGUUGUGGUUUGGAUCCCAUCUUCCCAGCUCCUGAGUUUUUCUCCUCUCAGGCCACUCAUCGUUUAGCUGAUGCUUCAGGCAAACGGCCAGCCCACAUUUUGAAAGAGGGGCUGGCAGGCCUGUAACUAAGUGCAAGGUCAUUCUCCUUUGGGCUCAAGAGAGGACUUAGUUCCCCCUUAAAAAAAGAGAAGCAGGGAACCAUUCCUAUGAAUCUUUUAAUGAAGGAUUUACUAUCAAUUUGAUAAGUUCAAUGCUGUUUUUACUCAUUCUGAAUGAAUAACUUUUCAGUCAACCCGAGGGACUAUAAAGAUGCUUUCUUCAGCCUCCGUGUUGUAACACAUGCUGGGGCUUGAGCCUGCCUCUGACAGACUGGGGAGGAGUAGAAACAUUCCAGAGACCAGGUCUUAGAGUGUUAUCUCUUCCCCCACCCUAAAUCCUCACCCACCAUUUUAUCUCUCUUCACCACAAAUGCAGAGACCUCCUAGGGAAGUGUGAAGGAAUGGGUUUUAAUCAGGUUUGGGGAAGGAAGGGGACUAAGUUGAGCCGAGAGAAAGAUGGAGACCUUUGUAAUUUUUAGGUGGUGCUUCUCUGUUACGCUUCUCAUGUGUUGUAUAUUAUAUCCCACAAAUUGUGCAUUUGCACCCGUAAUCCACAGUGUGUACGGGACUUGG
ensembl:lncRNA